rnacentral:pre_miRNA from 1 species
UCUACCAGGAUUCUUGAAUUUCCGUGUCCAACGUUUGACCGUCUGUUUUAUAUAAAAAAAAUUUAUUAUUAGUAUUUUCAUUAUUGUUAGAAGAUAAAACAUAAAUAAUACUUUAUGCAUGACUUAUCUUUUAAAAAAAUUUUAUAAUUUUUUUAAAUAAGACGGACGGUCACGAAAACCCAGAAAUUGAG